ACUCCUACGGAAGGCAGCAGUGAGGAAUAUUGGGCAAUGGGCGGAAGCCUGACCCAGCAACGCCGCGUGGAGGAAGACGGCCUUCGGUUGUAAACUCCUUUUACGGGGUAAGAGGAAGGACGGUACCCCGACGAAUAAGUCACGGCUAACUACGUGCCAGCAGCCGCGGUAAU
rnacentral:rRNA from 1 species